GUGGGGAAUCUUCCGCAAUGGACGAAAGUCUGACGGAGCAACGCCGCGUGAGUGAAGAAGGUUUUCGGAUCGUAAAGCUCUUUCGUUAGGGACGAACGUGCUCUUUGUGAAUAAUGAGGAGUAAUGACGGUACCUAAAUAAGAAGCCACGGCUAACUACGUGCCAGCGGCCGCGGUAAUACGUAGGUGGCAAGCGUUGUCCGGAAUUAUUGGGCGUAAAGCGCGCGCAGGCGGGAUAUCAAGUCCGUCUUAAAAGUGCGAGGCUCAACCUCGUGAGGGGACAGAAACUGGUAUUCUUGAGUGUCGGAGAGGAAAGUGGAAUUCCAAGUGUAGCGGUGAAAUGCGUAGAGAUUUGGAAGAACACCAGUGGCGAAGGCGACUUUCUGGACGAUGUCUGACGCUGAGGCGCGAAAGCUAGGGGAGCGAACGGGAUUAGAAACCCUGGUAGUCC
rnacentral:rRNA from 1 species